GCUUACGACCACACCAGCCUGAGUACUGCCUGAUCUCGGAAGCUAAGCAGGGUCGGGCCUGGUUAGUACUUGGAUGGGAGACCGCCUGGGAAUACCAGGUGCUGUAAGCU
rnacentral:rRNA from 1 species